rnacentral:rRNA from 1 species
AACGAACGCUGGCGGCAGGCCUAACACAUGCAAGUCGAGCGGACCUUUCGGGUUCAGCGUCGGACGGGUGAGUAACGCGUUGGAAUAUGCCCUUCUCUACGGAAUAGUCCUGGGAAACUGUGGGUAAUACCGUAUACGCUCUUUGGUGGAAAGAUUUAUCGGGGAAGGAUUAGCCCGCGUUGGAUUAGGUAGUUGGUGGGGUAAUGGCCUACCAAGCCGACGAUCCAUAGCUGGUUUGAGAGGAUGAUCAGCCACACUGGGACUGAGACACGGCCCAGAAUCCUACGGGAGGCAGCAGUGGGGAAUCUUAGACAAUGGGGGCAACCCUGAUCUAGCCAUGCCGCGUGAGUGAUGAAGGCCUUAGGGUUGUAAAGCUCUUUCAGCUGGGAAGAUAAUGACGGUACCAGCAGAAGAAGCCCCGGCUAACUCCGUG